rnacentral:rRNA from 1 species
UACGUAGGGGGCAAGCGUUGUCCGGAUUUAUUGGGCGUAAAGAGCGUGUAGGCGGCUUGGUAGGUCCGCUGUGAAAACUCGAGGCUCAACCUCGAGAUGUCGGCGGAAACCACUUGGCUAGAGUCCGGAAGAGGAGAGUGGGAAUUCCUGGUGUAGCGGUGAAAUGCGCAGAUAUCAGGAAGAACACCUAUGGCGAAGGCAGCUCUCUGGGACGGUACUGACGCUGAGACGCGAAAGCGUGGGGAGCGAAGCAGG